AUUGAACGCUGGCGGCAGGCCUAACACAUGCAAGUCGAACGGUAACAGGAAGAAGCUUGCUUCUUUGCUGGCGAGUGGCGGACGGGUGAGUAAUGUCUGGGAAACUGCCUGAUGGAGGGGGAUAACUACUGGAAACGGUAGCUAAUACCGCAUAAUGUCGCAAGACCAAAGAGGGGGACCUUCGGGCCUCUUGCCAUCGGAUGUGCCCAGAUGGGAUUAGCUAGUAGGUGGGGUAACGGCUCACCUAGGCGACGAUCCCUAGCUGGUCUGAGAGGAUGACCAGCCACACUGGAACUGAGACACGGUCCAGACUCCUACGGGAGGCAGCAGUGGGGAAUAUUGCACAAUGGGCGCAAGCCUGAUGCAGCUAUGCCGCGUGUAUGAAGAAGGCCUUCGGGUUGUAAAGUACUUUCAGCGGGGAGGAAGGGAGUAAAGUUAAUACCUUUGCUCAUUGACGUUACCCGCAGAAGAAGCACCGGCUAACUCCGUG
rnacentral:rRNA from 1 species